CACUUGGAACCAACCCAAAUGCCCAUCAAAGAUAGACUGCAUAAAGAAAAUGUAGCACGUAUAUACCAUGGAAUACUAUGCAGCUAUAAAAAAGGAUUAGUUCAUGUUCUUUGCGGGAACAUGGAUUUAGCUGGAAACCAUCUUUCUCAGCAAAUUAACAC